GAAACCAUGGGCGAGUCUGUUGCUAUGGGGCGUUCUAUUGAGCUUCGCCUCUUGGUGUCCAUGCUCUUUGAUUUUAUUCCCUCUCGUUGCACAGUCCACAUAUUGUGUGAAGUUGGUCAGGACAGGAGAGAGAGAGAUAGAGACAUGAUUUAAGUCCCCACUGAUCAGGAUAAGAGCGCUCGGGUGCGGCAUCUGUAGUCCUGCGAUCACUGAGUGGAUGACGUCACUCGCGCUGGCUGCAACAGCUGAUGGGGGAAUGUAAACAACUACCAUGAUGGCGCGUGAAAACUCCCGCAGUAGAAAGGGCGGACUGGCCAUCUGGAGGUUCUGGAGAAUCACAGAACGGCCGGUACUCCAGGACGGAAGAUGAGGGAAGCGCAUACGUCACGCAUAUCGAGCAGCCGUGUGCAGCAGGCAGUCACCUGCAUUGUAUUGUUCAGCAGAGAGACAUCUGGAUUGUGUCGUUUAUUUCUCAAAGCAGGGCAUCGUGCAUUUUCUGGUAUAUCUGAACAAAGUCAUCCAGUCUCAUCAGCCUCCUUCUCUGGAACCGGACUCUCUUCAGAUCCCAUUGACUCCUCUCCAUGAUGCCCUGCAUUCAGUUAUCUUGUGUGAAGUUCUGAAAAGAUGAAUUACAUUUCUUAUCUGUUGACAUUUUCAAGAAAAUUUUGAAUUUUAAAUAUACUGUAGCACAGAUACGCACUUCAACUUUUUUAUGCAGUAUUUACCAGUGUAGAACUUUGAGAGUCGCUUGUAUGCUGGGCCUUUCCUGUGCCGUCCGAAUCCCCUCAAGACCAUUACAACAUUGUGAAAUUAGAGGACAGUGAUAGUAUGUGAAAGUAUAUAAGUAAUUAAUAUUCAGCUGUCUCAUAUCACUUGAACACAUUAAAAACACUUAUAAAACAUACCCCGCAUCAAUGCAGACCACAGAGUUGCAUGUGGGAGGAAGUCUUUUGCUAGGCCGGAGGUGAAUGUUGGGGCAUGGUAGAUGUUUGGUUCACCCUCUACAUCAAGGGGCACACUGCCAAAAAUGUCCUGAAAAAUGGAUUUUUAGUGCUGUGCUUCCCAGGUCAAUCUGAAAAACAAUAUUCACCAUUUUAGACAAUUGUAAUAUAAAUGUUUAUGU